rnacentral:rRNA from 1 species
AGUGAAUAGAUACCCCGGUAGUCCACGCCGUAAACGAUGCAUACUAGGAAUAUGGAGAAUCGACCCUCUGUGUUUCGAAAGCUAAACGCGUUAAGUAUGCCGCCUGGGUAGUACGGCCGCAAGGCUAAAACUCAAAGGAAUUGACGGGGGACCCGCACAAGCGGUGGAACAUGUGGUUUAAAUUCGACACUAAACGAAGAACCUUACCAAGACUUGACAUUCUACUGCAAACCCUACGAAAGUAGGGCUCCUUCGAGGGUGUAGAACAGGUGUUGCACGGUCGUCGUCAGCUCGUGCUGUGAAAGUGUCCCCGUUAAGUCGGUAAACGAGCGCAGCCCCUAUUGCAUGUUGUAAUUCUCAUGCGAGACUGCCGGUGUUAAAUCGGAGGAAGGCGGGGAUGACGUCAGAUCAGCGUGACUCUUACGUCUUGGGGCUACACACGUAGUUACAAUGGGAAGGUACAAAGGGUUGGCUAAGCCGCAAGGUGGAGCGUAAUCCCAUC